CUGGCUGAAUGGGAGACGAUUCCCCACCACUGACCAACUUCAGAAUUGUUUACAACUGGAGCAAGUGCCCUGAUACGGUUUUCCUCUGAGUAACUGGUGGAAUCAUCGUACCUGAAUCCACUCAUUGUGCUGCUAAGGGCCUGAUGACAUAGAUUUCAUUGCUGAGUGAUAUUGCAUUGUACAAUCAUCGUACCUGAAUCCACUCAUUAUGCUGCUACGGGCCUGAUGACAUAGAUUUCAUUGCUGAGUGAUACUGCAUUGUACAAUCAUCGUACCUGAAUCCACUCAUUAUGCUGCUACGGGCCUGAUGACAUAGAUUUCAUUGCUGAGUGAUACUGCAUUGUACGUA